GUUCCCUGUAUCUGGGCUUGGCCGUGUCUAGAGGCAAGAGGCCUUGGUGAGCUUACUUGGUUGCUCUGGUUUGAAGAACAGAGGGAUGUUAGCCUUCCAUGGGGAGGCUUCACAGGCUGAGUUCCUCAGAGGCCAGUGGUAAGACCAGAGCAAGGUCCAGGAACUGCGACACCUCAUUCGGAGCAGAAGAGAGGAGAAUAGAUCCCGACAUGCAUCUGCUUAGUGCAGAACUGCCAACGUCCAUGUCUCUCAGUGAAGGUGGUGGUUUCAUCACCAGCAGCAGCAGCUAGUCUUUGCUCCUCCAAAUGGCUCAUGCCAGCCCUGCCUCUGUCCACACAUACCGUAUCUUAGCUCAAUGUAUUCUGUGUUAGUGCUGUUUUCCUAUGCUUUUGUUUGCCUGUAGACUCUACUCUUUGUACUUGUACUAUUCAUCUUCCUUGACCUCCUUUUCUCCUUUGAACCCCACUUUCCUAAGAUCUGUGCUAUCAACACAGACCUUCAGAAGUAGAGAGGAUGGAAAUAGAACACGUACUUUGAUAAACAGAAGCAAUUAGACUUCCUUGGACGAUGCCACAUUCCUUUAAUGCACAUUCGGCUUAAUGCACAAUGGGAAAAUCAGAGCCUAUUGA